rnacentral:rRNA from 1 species
UACGGAGGGUGCAAGCGUUAAUCGGAAUUACUGGGCGUAAAGAGCUCGUAGGCGGUUUGUUGCGUCGGCUGUGAAAUCCCGAGGCUCAACCUCGGGUCUGCAGUCGAUACGAGCAAACUAGAGUGUUGCAGGGGAGACUGGAAUUCCUGGUGUAGCGGUGAAAUGCGCAGAUAUCAGGAGGAACACCGGUGGCGAAGGCGGGUCUCUGGGCAACAACUGACGCUGAGGAGCGAAAGCGUGGGGAGCGAACAGG